GUGUCCUUAAGGGGUUAACACCUUAUAAAAGCUAAAUAUCUCAUGUGCCCCAAAUACUAAUUUAAUCCCAGUCUAGCUCUAAACCCCAGGGGGUGCCUUAGAAUGUUGUGCCUGCAGGCACCUGACAUGUAAGUCUGGCCUUGCCCUGCAGUGGUUAUGGUUCUGUAGCCUCAUGAAUACAGUUCUCAGGAGUCCUUCAGAGUGUGUUAU